ACGGGGGGUGCGAGCGUUGUCCGGAAUCACUGGGCGUAAAGGGCGCGUAGGUGGCGUGAUAAGGGUGUGGUGGAAGCCCGGGGCUCAACCCCGGGUCGGCCGUGGCAACUGCUGGGCUGGAGCACUGUAGAGGCAGGUGGAAUUCCGGGUGUAGCGGUGGAAUGCGUAGAGAUCCGGAAGAACACCGGUGGCGAAGGCGGCCUGCUGGGCAGUAGCUGACGCUGAGGCGCGACAGCGUGGGGAGCAAACAGGA
rnacentral:rRNA from 1 species